rnacentral:rRNA from 1 species
UACGUAGGGUGCAAGCGUUGUCCGGAAUUAUUGGGCGUAAAGAGCUCGUAGGCGGUCUGUCGCGUCGGAUGUGAAAAUCCAGGGCUCAACCCUGGACCUGCAUUCGAUACGGGCAGACUAGAGUUCGGUAGGGGAGACUGGAAUUCCUGGUGUAGCGGUGAAAUGCGCAGAUAUCAAGAGGAACACCGGUGGCGAAGGCGGGUCUCUGGGCCGAAACUGACGCUGAGGAGCGAAAGCGUGGGGAGCAAACAGG